rnacentral:rRNA from 1 species
UGGGGAANUUUCCGCAAUGGGCGAAAGCCUGACGGAGCAAUACCGCGUGAGGGAGGAAUGCCUUUGGGUUGUAAACCUCUUUUCUCAGGGAAGAAGAUCUGACGGUACCUGAGGAAUAAGUAUCGGCUAACUCCGUGCCAGCAGCCGCGGUAAUACGGAGGAUGCAAGCGUUAUCCGGAAUCAUUGGGCGUAAAGCGUCCGCAGGUGGUUUCCAAAGUCUGCUGUUAAAGACUGGAGCUCAACUCCGGAACGGCGGUGGAAACUUGGAAACUAGAGUUCGGUAGGGGUAGCAGGAAUUCCAGUGUAGCGGUGAAAUGCGUAGAUAUUGGGAAGAACAUCGGUGGCGAAGGCGUGCUACUGGACCGUAACUGACACUCAGGGACGAAAGCUAGGGGAGCGAAAGGGAUUAGAUACCCCUGUAGUCCUAGCUGUAAACGAUGGAAACUAGGUGUGGCUUGA